GACGAACGCUGGCGGCGUGCUUAACACAUGCAAGUCGAACGGUAAGGCCCUUCGGGGUACACGAGUGGCGAACGGGUGAGUAACACGUGGGUGAUCUGCCCUGCACUUCGGGAUAAGCCUGGGAAACUGGGUCUAAUACCGGAUAGGACCACUGCCUGCAUGGGUGGUGGUGGAAAGCUUUUGCGGUGUGGGAUGGGCCCGCGGCCUAUCAGCUUGUUGGUGGGGUGAUGGCCUACCAAGGCGACGACGGGUAGCCGGCCUGAGAGGGUGACCGGCUACACUGGGACUGAGAUUCGGCCCAGACUCCUACGGGAGGCAGCAGUGGGGAAUAUUGCACAAUGGGCGCAAGCCUGAUGCAGCGACGCCGCGUGAGGGAUGACGGCCUUCGGGUUGUAAACCUCUUUCAGCACCGACGAAGCGCAAGUGACGGUAGGUGCAGAAGAAGGACCGGCCAACUACGUGCCAGCCGCCGCGGUAA
rnacentral:rRNA from 1 species